UGCAGGUCUGUCCAGCCUCCUCCCUGGCAUUGCUUACCUUCUCUGUGGCACACUGUAUAAACAGCACCUACUGGCACGCCUCAGCUGCAGGAGUUGGUCCGUAGUCUGGCAUGAAAGCUGUUUGUAAAACUUGCCCGUCCUGAUUCCAAAAUGGGAAAGCUGGUCUUCAUGUCAGUUUUAAUAGCUGCCUUAUCAGCACUGAUUGGAGACAGGAUCGUCAACUUAAGGAAAAGGACCCUGGCCACCAGAGAGCUGGUCCAGAGUCACCUCCCCAACUGUGUUGAACUCAAAAAUCUGGAAAAUGGCUCAGAGGACAUAACGAUCCUUGGAAACGGACUUGCUUUUAUCAGCAGUGCAAGUAUCUGAGUUGCAGAGCAGCCAAAUGUAGGCCUGUAUGUUAAAGGCAAACAAGAGUGCAAAUCAGAAGUAACUGUUUUACAAACCUGAUUCCAGAAAAGUCUGGACUCUUGUGUAAAACAAAUAAAAACAGAAUGUAAUGAUUUGUAAAUCUGUUUGACCUAUAUGCAGAUGAAUACAUCACAAAGACAAGAUAUUUAAAGAUGUUAACACCAGUAAACUUGUAAAAUAUACACUCAUUCUGAAUUUGAUGCCUACAACACGCUACAACAAAAGACUGGGAUAGUUGUGGAAUGCUCAUAAAACACCUGCUGUGAACAUUCCACAGGUAAACAGGUUGAUUGGUAACAAAUGAUAGUGGCCGCAUUCCCCAGUUUAGAGCGAGCACAGUUAAGAACGUCUUUGGUAAGAAGGGUCGCUAAGAUACAAGUGUUUCCCAGAUGCGUUCCUCAUGCCCUUCUUAGGAUUGCUCUUACGAUCGCUCUUUAAGAAGCUCUUAACAGGAGCUGCCCACUACCGCGGUGCUGAAACUAAAUCAAUUGAUGUCAGGCAAAUCGAUCACCCACCACUUAAUCAACGCAUAAGUCACACACAGCGCUGCUACCUAACGCACUAAUUCCCUGCUGCCCUAAUAAUUCUAAUGAAAAACUAAGACGACAAAUAUUUGUUAAUGACCUAUUUUCAUGAUGAAAACUAUAGACUACAACUAAAUAAGAAGUAGUCUUGGUAAGAGAAUCAUGAGGAAAUGUAUUAUAUUUAAACAAAAAGAGCCAGGCACUGCACCUCCAGGCUGAGGGCGAAAUUGCACUGGGUUGCCCUCCGGAUGUGUGCAUACACUAGUUGGUGAGGCGUUGUAUCUCAGCUGGUACUUCAUUUGGACAGCCCAGUCUGACAGCACGUCAAGUGGGCUGCUGACACACAAAUGCAUUUAUAUAUACGGUUUGGCUUCGCACGCAGCGACGCUGUUGGUUAGCAGCGAGAAUAUGCUGUAAAGCAGCCAUGGUAUCUCACACGUGUGAUGUGGCAACGCCUUUAUAUAGAGUAGCGAGUGGAGCGUCCCUUGAUGAGGUUCCAGCUGAGCUCAAUUACACCUGUCAGUUGCCUGAUAUCUGUGAAAUGUCGCAGGUUUGGAGGGUGGAUGUGUUUCUGUCAGAUGUGGGAUGUGUGCGGACAAAUUAUGAUAAAUGAUAGUCAUGAUGAUUCAUUUUAUUUAUGUGCCUGAUGUGCACAGCACAUACAGGAACACACUUGUUAUUCCUCAUACUUAUUUUUCGUCUUAUUAUUAUUUUUCUUCCACCAGAUUUCGGUGCGUAACUUGUGCCACAGCUUUGAGCGCACAUAGGGUCUUCAUAAAACAUAUAGAUUCAAGGUUCAAAGUGUUUAUUGUCUUAUGCACAGUAAGGACACGCGUUUCCCUGCAGAAUGAAAUUCGUUCUUUUCUGUCACCAAUUAAUGCUAAACAAUAUAAAUCUGAAGUAUAAAAUAGAUCAAAAUAUAUACGGUGCGCACUGUUUUAAUAUCUCCUUGCUUAGUGUAAUAUUAAUGUGCCUGCUGCGGCUGGAGCUGUGGGCGUUUGGUCACUGAGAAGACUGUUAAGAAUGGGUCAGCUCGAUCUUACAACUCCUUCUUAGUGAAAGAUCUUCUUAAGCAAAGAGUGAUCUGGGAAAUGCGUUUUUCUUUCAUGGGAGGCUUAAGAGCGUUCUUAAGAAGCUCUUAGCACUCAGAGGCCGUUUACACGUACACGGUGAUUUUGAUAAACGGAGACAUCUUCCUUCGUCUGUGCCCUUCGUUUACACGCAAACGGAGAUUUCUCCCCUGAAAACGAGUCUUUCUAAAAACUCCGGCCAGAGUGGAGAUUUUGGAAAACUCCGGUUGCGUGUUUGCAUGUAAACUGAGAUAAACGGAGAUAAACGGAGUUAUAGGCAGUCGACGUCACAGUAUGCGCCAGAACUUGCGCCUGUGUCAAAAGUGCGACCUAUGUUGCUAUGGUGACAAUGGAUACAUGGAAGGCUUGAGCUUCUCGUUACACUGCCACCUACAGGUUUGGCAUGCUCUUGUGUAUAUAUACACGGGUAAGUGUAAACAAAGAUCUUUUUGAAAACGGAGACGGUGAAAUGUCCGUUUAUGAAAAUAGCCGGCAACGUGUAAACGGCCUCUAAGAGCGAUCUGGGAAACGCGGCCAGUAUCAUUACUAGGUAUAAAGUGCCAUCCUCAAAAGGCUUAGUUCUUCACAAGAUGGUCAUGCAAUCACAAAAAUACCAGGGCAAACUGUCCAGCAGUUUAAAAACCACCUUCUCAGCGCACAGUUGAAUUGAUUUCACCAUCUACAAUCCAUAAUAUCGUCAAAGGAUCUAGAGAAUCUGGAGAAAUCUCUGUACGUAAGGCGCAACGCUGAAAACCGGCACUGAAUGGCUAUGACCUUUGACUUUUCAGGCAGCACUGCUUUUCAAAGUGAAAAAAGCAACCUCUCAUCCAUUGGCAAAACACUUAAGAGGUGCUGGAGCUGAACUUAGAGCCUUAGAAAACAACAAAACAGCAACUGCACACUCAAACACUGUGCAUCAACUAAUACUUUUACAAAUCCCAGAACAGGGAAAACAUUUCCAGUAAGAGGAGUUAUCACAUGUAAUACAAAAAAUGUUGUAUAUAUGUUAAAAUGCACCUGUGAUAAAAUCUACAUUGGUAAACCCAUUUGUCGUCUCAAACAAAGGAUUAGUGAACACAAAAGUUCAAUAAGACGAAAUGAUGUUAAUUACCCUGUAGCCUGUCAUUUUAAUAAUCACUCUCAUCCCAUCUCCUCCCUUAGGUUCCAGGGAAUAGAGCAAAUUACUCUUCAGAGAGGGGGUGAUGUUGACAGGCGACUAUGUCAGAGAGAGCUUUAUUGGAUCCACACCUUAGAAACUUUACAACCACUAGGUCUCAAUGAAGAAUUUGACAUGAGCGUUGUACUUUAAACAUAUAACAAUAGAUUUUAUGCUCUACUAUGCUUUAUGAUGGCCACUACCUGAUGUUUGCAUAUAUUUUGUUGCUUUUCUCCAUUGUGUUUUUGUACUCUUACUUUAUGUGUACAUAUUGUAAAUAAUUUCAAUGUAUUGGUGUUUCCUGUUUUCAGUAGACAGUUGUGUCCAAGGCUAUUAGAAUAACUUUAUCUAGGACUACAAUUCCCUUUUUAUUGGGACUAUAAUUCCCACGAUGCUUUUCUAGCCUUUGCCAUGUUUGACACAGGUGUUUGGCAUUUUGCAAUCAAGUAUGUACAGCUGCAUUCACUUGUCUUGUAUGCCUGAAGAAGGUCACAAUGACCGGAAUUUUGCAUUAAACUGAUAUAUGCACAGUGUUUGAGGGUGCGGCUGCUGUUUUGUUGUUUUCUAAGGCAGCACUAAAAAUCGACAUGACUAUACAAAGAAUAUAACUACACGGGCUCAGGAACACUUUGGAAAACCAUUGUAGAUAAACUCGUUCGUCAAUGCAUCCACAAAUGCAAGUUAAGACUCUACCAUGCAAAGUGACAGCCAUAUAUCAACUACAACCAGAAACACCAUCGACUUCUCUGGACCGAGCUCAUCUGAGAUGGACUGACACAAAGUGCAAAAGUGUGCUGUGGUCUGAUGAGUCCACAUUUUCAAUUGAUUUUGAAAUCAUGGACACUAUGUCCUCCAGGCUAAAGAGGAAAAGGACCAUUGAGAUUGUUACAAGCACAAAGUUCAAACCCAGUAUCUGUGAUGGUGUGGGGGAGUGUUACUGCCCAUGGCAUCAAAGUUAACUUCACAUCUGUGAAGGCACCAUGAAUGCUGAAAGGUACAUGCAGGUUUUGGAGCAACAUAUGCUGCCAUCCAGACAGUGUCUUUUUCAGGGACGUCCCCGCUUAUUCCAGCAAGACAAUGCUAAGCCACUUUCUGCACAUGUUAUAACAAUGUGGCUUCCUAGUAAAAGAGUGCUGAUACUAGACUGGCCCGCCUGCAGUCUAGACCUGUCUCCCAUUGAAAAUAUGUGUUGCAUUAUGAAGCACAAAAUAUGACAACAGAGUCCCUGGACUGUUGAGCAACUGAAGUUGUAUAUCAAGCAAGAAUGGGGAAAAAAUUCACUUUCAAAACUUCAACAAUUUGUGUCCUCGGUUGAUGUAACACAGUGGCAAACAUGCUUGUGUCACAAAGUGUUGCAGGCCUCAAAUUCAGAAUGGGUGUAUAUUUACAAAAACAAAGUUUAUCAAUUUGAACAUUUAAAUAUAUUGUUUAUGCGCUGUUGCCACAGCAACGGUGCGCUUGCAAAAAUAUUGCCGGGGGGAAACAGGUUUUGGUGUAACACGCCCACAAAAAUAUCACCUACAGGACGCAAACCAUGGCAGAAAAAUGGCUACAUCCCCGCAAGAUCAAACACCGCAAAAGUUAGUAAAGGACGUGUUGAAAACGGUUGAAAACUGCUACACAACCGGAGGUGGUAGGGCGGGACUUCAGCGGGUGGCUCAUUCCGCCCAAUGAGAGGCUGAUCUCUGCAGCAAACUUCCGCCCGCUCAGACUAGUAUAACGAUAACCUUGUCUAUGACUCCU